ensembl:lncRNA uncharacterized LOC114868235
UGUUACACAAAAACAGUGAAUGGUUGAAUCAAGUGAGUUGUGUUCAGACUGUGGUAAAACUACAGUAAGUUUAACUCCCAUCUUGAUGUUUUCUACGGAGACAUUGAAUGACAAACACAUCUGUGUUGUGGACCAAAAAAAAGCAAGCCACUCCUAAACAGAACCUCUGAUCACCACUAUUGCUGUGGUAAAAAACAGUAUCACAGCACAACUCAAAGCUGCUGUAACGUAAAAGGAAGUCUUGGUGAGUUACAAGAACCAAACACAUUGUGUUUAUUAUUGUCCAUAAUUGUUUUUGCUGCUUCGCACCAGAUUCCAGAGAGAUUGUGACCUCUGAACUCAUUUAACCAGACAUUAUGUACAAACGUGUCACAGUGUCGUGAGUUUAAAUAGUAACAUUAACAUUAGUUACAGUAGCAAUAUGUUCAGAUUGAGGUAGAAGUGAGUUUAACUCCCAUCCUGAUCUUUUCCACAGUGAUAUUAAAUGACAACGGACAUCUGUGUUGUGGACCAAAAGAUAACAAGACAGUCCUCAACAGAGCCUCUGAUCACCACUAUUGCUGUGGUAAAGAACAGUAUGACAACAGAAAUCAAAGAUGCUGUCACGUUAAAGGAAGUCUUGGUGAGUUACAAGCAUAUUGUAUUUAUUGUUGUCCAUAAUUAAUUAAUGCCACAAUUAAACACUGAUGUCUAUACCAAAACCUGAUCUUAAUUUACUGACAUGAGCAUUUAAACUCAAAAAUUCAAACAGUGAAGUUCAGCUUUUGGGUUUAGAGGAGAUUUAACUGUGUUUAAUGAAGUCUUAGAACCAGAUUCUAGAGACAGAGUGCGACCUUUGAACUCAAGUAAACAGACCUUAUGUACAAACGUGUCACAAUUUCGUCAGCUUAAAUAGUAACAUUAACAUUAGGUAGCAACAUGUUCAGACUGAGGUAGAAGUGAGUUUAACUCCCAUCCUGAUCUUUUCUACAGAAAUACUGAAUAACAGCAAACAGCUGUGUUGUGGACCAGAUUAUGACAAGACCGUCCUGACCAGAACCUCUGAUCACCACUAUUGCUGUGGUAAAGAACAGUAUGACAACAGAAAUCAAAGUUGCUGUCACGUUGAAGGAAGUCUUGAAAUAUUGAAUGACAGUGAACAGCUGUGUUGUGGACCAGAACAUAACAAGACAGUCCUCAACAGAGCCUCUGAUCACCACUAUUGCUGUGGUAAAGAACAGUAUGACAACAAAACUGAGUGCUGCUGUCACAAGGAAAACCGAAGUCUUCGGAUACAAAAAAAGGACGACAACUGCUGUAAAAAUGAAACAACUGCUGAGCGACCUAAACGUUCAGCGGAGGAACUGUGUGGUAAUGAGACCUAUGACAACAGAACUCACUGCUGCUGUGACACGAGAGAUGAUCUUCAGAUACAACAUAAUGACUCCUACUGCUGUAAAAGUUUGAAACAGCAGACUCACGCACAGUCAUCUGUCGACAGUGAGCCACACAAACGCCUCACUAGGUCUAUAAGGCAGAACAAACGCUGUGGCUGUGGGAGAAAGUGCUGGUGCUGCUGCUCAGGUCGAUGCCCUGCUGUUCCCAUCAAGUGCAAACCACACGUAUGUGUGUGCUGGGAUGGCUGCGUAUCUAAGAGAAAGUCUCAGAUGAUUCAAUGUCAUGACUCGCCUGGACAUCGCUGCUGCUGGAGGAAAACCUUCAGGCCUUGCACUGACAUCUGCUGCGGUGGCCGCAGGACCACAAGUUCUACUUCCCCAAGACAAGAUUCAGAUGCUGCCGUCGAAGGUAUUACAACCCGGCCGUGUGUUCAUGCUGUGCUUCUUCAACAACGAAACCUUUGUUGAAGAAGGUUGAAAGAUGUCUUUGUUGAUCCCAACCAUCGCUCUGUUCUCCGGUCCCUUCAUUUCAUUUUCUCCAGCUGUUCCUAUCAGUAAACCAAAUUCCUUCCAGGGAACACGUGUCUGUCAUUAUACUCAACACGUUAACCACAUUUGUUGACAGUACUUCUCUGAUUGGACUCGGCGGCAACUUUUGACAACUCCAAAGCCUCCACGCAGACGACUGCGUGUGACAUGUGAACCCACAAGCUGUCAUAUAUACAUUAUUAUUGUCUAGCGUGGCCAUUUAUGAGGAGCUCCUUCACUGUGUGGAGCACGGUGACUCACACAUUUACUCACUGUGAAGGACACUACUAGUACUAGUACAGUGCCAAACCAAAGCUACAGGGCUCAAAGCUUAGAUUAUCUAAACUACUGUGGAGCAGCUGGAUCCACUCUUAGUUGCCAUGGUAGCAGGUAAUAGACAGGAAUGUUACUUAACUGCUUUCUGUCCACAUAAGCUAAACUACUACAAGAAAGUUUUCUAUGAAUAUUACAUUCGUCCUUUUUUAAUGUGAUUGUUGCACUGAACUUUAUGAAAAAUGGCAAAUAUUUGCACAUCACUUAAAUUAUUAUGUGUUUACGUUUAAGUGAGAUGAGUCACGAGUGACAAAGCUACUAAUUGAUAAGCACCGUCAAACUAUCAGGGAUAUAAAUGCCAAACUCCUGCCCCAAAGGUUCCACUGGAGGCUCUUGUGUAUGUGAAACAGUUACUAUAUUGACUGUACGGUUGAAUGUAACAUACAGUGGACUCCAGUUGUAUUCAUGCUAAGGUGCUUUUGUACUGUAAUCAGUGAUUAAACUCAUCUGGUGCACAGCACAUUGCUUUUUCAUACAACUGUGUGUUUACUGUAUAUGUGAAUGAUUUCAUCAUAGUUACUGUCUAUAUUCAUAAAACUAUAAACUAUAUCUUAUACUGCAUGUGUAUUUUUAAACGACCCUACUCUGGGUGACGUUUGACUAUUUGUCUUCAAUAAACAACUAUUAUUAUUAAGCCUGUUGUGUUUU